UACGUAGGGGGCUAGCGUUGUCCGGAUUUAUUGGGCGUAAAGCGCGUGUAGGCGGCCAGGUAGGUCCGCUGUGAAAACUCGAGGCUCAACCUCGAGACGUCGGCGGAAACCCUCUGGCUAGAGUCCGGAAGAGGAGAGUGGAAUUCCCGGUGUAGCGGUGAAAUGCGCAGAUAUCGGGAGGAACACCAGUGGCGAAGGCGGCACUCUGGGCCAGUACUGACACUGAGGAGCGAAAGCGUGGGGAGCGAACAGG
rnacentral:rRNA from 1 species